ACUUCUUGAAGGCUUUGAAAGAUCUCUUGAUCAAGGUUGAACAAUAGGCUUGAAAAAUCCUCUCUUUGAAUGCUCUUGAAUCUCUUUCACAAUCUCUCGUGUAUAUUGUGGAUCACUUGUCUCUCUCGUGUAGAUUUUGGAUCCUCUUUUCUUUUUCUCUUGAAUGUUUCGUUGAUCACUUCGUGUAUAUUUUGGAUCCUCUCAAUUGUAUAUUUGUUUGAUCUACCAAUUUCUUUCACCAUUUGAAACCUUUUAUAGCCUUAAGAAACAAGAGAAAAUAUAUUAGGCAGAAAAAGAGCCGUUAGAGCAUUUUUAGGAAGCAUAAAAGGCAAUUAAAAUGGGCAAAAAACU
rnacentral:lncRNA from 1 species